ACUAAUAAAAAUUUAGAGUCUUUUAAGUUAAAGGCAUUUAUUCCUAAUUUUAAUGUAACCAGAAUGGGUGUAGUUAAAAAUAUCCCAACAGAAUGGACUGAUACUGAAAUAUUAGAAAAUUUAGAAACACCAGUAGGUUUUGGCAAAGUAUUAAAAAUUAGGAGGAUUAAUUAUAAGGUCAAAGUAGAAAACAUUGUCGAAUGGAAACCUUCUCGUUCUGUGGUUGUUACUUUUGAUGGACAAAUCUUGCCUCCUAAAGUUUAUAUUUGCUACAAUUCAUUACCUGUAGAUUUCUCAAAGACAUCUUUACAUGAUCCAAGGUCCAGCGAGGCUGUUGCAGCCGCAGGCGCAGCUGCCGCCGAUGGAGACCGCGCCGCCGGCGGGCACGAUGCCGCCGAACUCCACGGCG